AGCUUGUCCGAGUGCAGUGUGUCCACAAUUAAUUGGUUACAGCCAGUUACAGAUUUCUUUGUUCCUUCUCCACUCCCAUUGCAUCACUUGACUGAAAA
rfam:Myotis brandtii contig237969, whole genome shotgun sequence.